CCGCGCUAAGCGGGGAGUUAGCGGUGCCCUGUACCUGCAAUCCGCUACAGCAGGGCCGAAUUCCUGACCUGAGGCAUUCGUCUGCGGGGCUGGAUGCGGUAAGGAGCGUUGAUCGUCGGGUCCCGUGCAACCGAACGCCGUGAACCAUGUCAGGUCCUGACGGAAGCAGCAUUAAGCGGAUGGUGCGGUGUGCCGCGGGGAAACCUGAAGGGAGCCGCCUGCCGCAUGACCGCCCGUGGGCGAUCAGUCAAGGGUCAGGUGCGCGG
rnacentral:SRP_RNA from 1 species